UGGGGAAUAUUGGACAAUGGGCGAAAGCCUGAUCCAGCCAUGCCGCGUGAGUGAUGAAGGCCUUCGGGUUGUAAAGCUCUUUCGCUGGGGAAGAUAAUGACGGUACCCAGAUAAGAAGCCCCGGCUAACUUCGUGCCAGCAGCCGCGGUAAGACGAAGGGGGCUAGCGUUGUUCGGAAUUACUGGGCGUAAAGCGCGCGUAGGCUGUUUUGUGGGUUCGAUGUGAAAGCCUGGGGCUCAACCUCAGAAUUGCAUUGAAAACUACAAAACUUGAGUAUGGCAGGGGAUAGCGGAAUUUCUGGUGUAGCGGUGAAAUGCGUAGAUAUCAGAAGGAACACCGGUGGCGAAGGCGGCUAUCUGGACCAUAACUGACGCUGAGGCGCGAAAGCGUGGGGAUCAAACAGG
rnacentral:rRNA from 1 species